rfam:Gadgets Gully virus isolate OTT53.IT9 polyprotein gene, complete cds
GAGACUUGUGUGGCAGCGCACUAACGGUGUGACGGGCAGUGGUCGCUCCCGACGCAUGAGUUUUCAGAAAACCGAGAUUCGUGAGA